UACGGAGGGUGCAAGCGUUAUCCGGAUUCACUGGGUUUAAAGGGUGCAUAGGUGGGUUGGUAAGUCAGUGGUGAAAUCUCCGAGCUUAACUUGGAAACUGCCAUUGAUACUAUUAAUCUUGAAUAUUGUGGAGGUCAGCGGAAUAUGUCAUGUAGCGGUGAAAUGCUUAGAGAUGACAUAGAACACCAAUUGCGAAGGCAGCUGGCUACACAUAUAUUGACACUGAGGCACGAAAGCGUGGGGGAUCAAACAGG
rnacentral:rRNA from 1 species